rnacentral:rRNA from 1 species
CGGGCCUCUUGCCAUCGGAUGUGCCCAGAUGGGAUUAGCUAGUAGGUGGGGUAAAGGCUCACCUAGGCGACGAUCCCUAGCUGGUCUGAGAGGAUGACCAGCCACACUGGAACUGAGACACGGUCCAGACUCCUACGGGAGGCAGCAGUGGGGAAUAUUGCACAAUGGGCGCAAGCCUGAUGCAGCCAUGCCGCGUGUAUGAAGAAGGCCUUCGGGUUGUA